AGUGAACGCUGGCGGUAGGCCUAACACAUGCAAGUCGAACGGCAGCACAGUAAGAGCUUGCUCUUACGGGUGGCGAGUGGCGGACGUGUGAGGAAUACAUCGGAAUCUACUUUUUCGUGGGGGAUAACGUAGGGAAACUUACGCUAAUACCGCAUACGACCUACGGGUGAAAGCAGGGGAUCUUCGGACCUUGCGCGAUUGAAUGAGCCGAUGUCGGAUUAGCUAGUUGGCGGGGUAAAGGCCCACCAAGGCGACGAUCCGUAGCUGGUCUGAGAGGAUGAUCAGCCACACUGGAACUGAGACACGGUCCAGACUCCUACGGGAGGCAGCAGCGGGGAAUAUUGGACAAUGGGCGGAAGCCUGAUCCAGCCAUACCGCGUGGGUGAAGAAGGCCUUCGGGUUGUAAAGCCCUUUUGUUGGGAAAGAAAAGCAGCAGGUUAAUACCCCGCUGUUCUGACGGUACCCAAAGAAUAAGCACCGGCUAACUUCGUG
rnacentral:rRNA from 1 species